rnacentral:rRNA from 1 species
CAGUAGCCGCGGUAAUGCGUAGGGUGCGAGCGUUAAUCGGAAUUACUGGGCGUAAAGCGUGCGCAGGCGGUUGUGUAAGACAGGUGUGAAAUCCCCGGGCUUAACCUGGGAACUGCGCUUGUGACUGCACAGCUAGAGUAUGGCAGAGGGGGGUGGAAUUCCACGUGUAGCAGUGAAAUGCGUAGAGAUGUGGAGGAACACCGAUGGCGAAGGCAGCCCCCUGGGCCAAUACUGACGCUCAUGCACGAAAGCGUGGGGAGCAAACAGGAUUAGAUACCCGGGUAGUCCCUGUCUCUUAUAC